rnacentral:rRNA from 1 species
UAAUACCGCAUAGUAUCUGUGGAUUAAAGGUGGCUUUUGGGCUGUCGCAGAUGGAUGAGCCUGCAUUGGAUUAGCUAGUUGGUGGGGUAAGGGCCUACCAAGGCUACGAUCCAUAGCUGAUUUGAGAGGAUGAUCAGCCACAUUGGGACUGAGACACGGCCCAAACUCCUACGGGAGGCAGUAGUGGGGAAUAUUGGACAAUGGGGGUAACCCUGAUCCAGCAAUGUCAUGUGUGUGAAGAAGGCCUUAGGGUUGUAAAGCACUUUAGUUGGGGAGGAAAGCUUUGAGGUUAAUAGCCUUGAGGAAGGACGUUACCCAAAGAAUAAGCACCGGCUAACUCUGUGCCAGCAGCCGCGGUAAUACGGGGGGUGCAAGCGUUAAUCGGAAUUACUGGGCGUAAAGGGUCUGUAGGUGGUUUGUUAAGUCAGAUGUGAAAGCCCAGGGCUCAACCUUGGAACUGCAUUUGAUACUGGCAAACUAGAGUACGGUAGAGGAAUGGGGAAUUUCUGGUGUAGCGGUGAAAUGCGUAGAGAUCAGAAGGAACACCAAUGGCGAAGGCAACAUUUUGGACCGGUACUGACACUGAGGGACGAAAGCGUGGGGAUCAAACAGGAUUAGAUACCCUGGUAGUCCACGCUGUAAACGAUGAAUACUAGCUGUUGGGGUCGGUGUAAAGGCUCUAGUGGCGCAGCUAACGCGAUAAGUAUUCCGCCUGGGGACUACGGCCGCAAGGCUAAAACUCAAGGGAAUUGACGGGGACCCGCACAAGCGGUGGAGCAUGUGGUUUAAUUCGAUACAACGCGAAGAACCUUACCUGGUCUUGACAUCCUGCGAGCUUUCUAGAGAUAGAUUGGUGCCUUCGGGAACGCAGUGACAGGUGCUGCACGGCUGUCGUCAGCUCGUGUUGUGAAAUGUUGGGUUAAGUCCCGCAACGAGCGCAACCCCUAUUGAUAGUUACUAUCAUUAAGUUGGGUACUCUAUUGAAACUGCCGCUGAUAAGGCGGAGGAAGGUGGGGACGACGUCAAGUCAUCAUGGCCCUUACGACCAGGGCUACACACGUGCUACAAUGGGUAUUACAGAGGGCUGCGAAGGAGCGAUCU